GAGAGUUUGAUUCUGGCUCAGGAUGAACGCCGGCGGUGUGCCUAAUACAUGCAAGUCGUACGCACUGGCCCAACUGAUUGAUGGUGCUUGCACCUGAUUGACGAUGGAUCACCAGUGAGUGGCGGACGGGUGAGUAACACGUAGGUAACCUGCCCCGGAGCGGGGGAUAACAUUUGGAAACAGAUGCUAAUACCGCAUAACAACAAAAGCCACAUGGCUUUUGUUUGAAAGAUGGCUUUGGCUAUCACUCUGGGAUGGACCUGCGGUGCAUUAGCUAGUUGGUAAGGUAACGGCUUACCAAGGCGAUGAUGCAUAGCCGAGUUGAGAGACUGAUCGGCCACAAUGGAACUGAGACACGGUCCAUACUCCUACGGGAGGCAGCAGUAGGGAAUCUUCCACAAUGGGCGCAAGCCUGAUGGAGCAACACCGCGUGAGUGAAGAAGGGUUUCGGCUCGUAAAGCUCUGUUGUUGGAGAAGACGUGCGUGAGAGUACUGUUCACGCAGUGACGGUAUCCCCACCAGAAAUCACGCUUAUCACG
rnacentral:rRNA from 1 species